rnacentral:rRNA from 1 species
UAGAGUUUGAUCCUGGCUCAGGAUGAACGCUAGCGACAGGCUUAACACAUGCAAGUCGAGGGGCAGCAUAAAAGUAGCAAUACUUUGGUGGCGACCGGCGCACGGGUGAGUAACGCGUAUGCAACCUACCUAUCAGAGGGGAAUAACCCGGCGAAAGUCGGACUAAUACCGCAUAAAACAGGGGCACCGCAUGGUGAUAUUUGUUAAAGAAAUUCGCUGAUAGAUGGGCAUGCGUUCCAUUAGGUAGUUGGUGAGGUAACGGCUCACCAAGCCGACGAUGGAUAGGGGAACUGAGAGGUUGGUCCCCCACACUGGUACUGAGACACGGACCAGACUCCUACGGGAGGCAGCAGUGAGGAAUAUUGGUCAAUGGGCGGGAGCCUGAACCAGCCAAGUCGCGUGAAGGAAGAAGGAUCUAUGGUUCGUAAACUUCUUUUGCAGGGGAAUAAAGUGCAGGACGUGUCCUGUUUGUAUGUACCCUGAGAAUAAGGAUCGGCUAACUCCGUGCCAGCAGCCGCGGUAAUACGGAGGAUCCGAGCGUUAUCCGGAAUUAAUUGGGUUUAAAGGUGCGUAGUG